AGAUUGAACGCUGGCGGCAUGCUUUACACAUGCAAGUCGAACGGUAACAGGCCGCAAGGUGCUGACGAGUGGCGAACGGGUGAGUAAUGUAUCGGAACGUGCCCAGUCGUGGGGGAUAACGCAGCGAAAGCUGCGCUAAUACCGCAUACGAUCUAUGGAUGAAAGCGGGGGACCGUAAGGCCUCGCGCGAUUGGAGCGGCCGAUAUCAGAUUAGGUAGUUGGUGGGGUAAAGGCUCACCAAGCCAACGAUCUGUAGCUGGUCUGAGAGGACGACCAGCCACACUGGGACUGAGACACGGCCCAGACUCCUACGGGAGGCAGCAGUGGGAAUUUUGGACAAUGGGCGCAAGCCUGAUCCAGCAAUGCCGCGUGCAGGAAGAGGCCUUGGUUGUAACUGCUUUUGUACGAACGAACGGUACCCGGUUAAGUACCCGGGCUAAGUGACGGUACCGUAAGAAGUAAGACGACCGGACUAACUACGUAGCCAGCAGCCGCGGUAACUCGUA
rnacentral:rRNA from 1 species